rnacentral:rRNA from 1 species
AAUGGGGGCAACCCUGAUCUAGCCAUGCCGCGUGAGUGAUGAAGGCCUUAGGGUCGUAAAGCUCUUUCGCCUGUGAUGAUAAUGACAGUAGCAGGUAAAGAAACCCCGGCUAACUCCGUGCCAGCAGCCGCGGUAAUACGGAGGGGGUUAGCGUUGUUCGGAAUUACUGGGCGUAAAGCGCGCGUAGGCGGAUUAGAAAGUUGGGGGUGAAAUCCCGGGGCUCAACCUCGGAACUGCCUCCAAAACUGCUAGUCUAGAGUUCGAGAGAGGUGAGUGGAAUUCCGAGUGUAGAGGUGAAAUUCGUAGAUAUUCGGAGGAACACCAGUGGCGAAGGCGGCUCACUGGCUCGAUACUGACGCUGAGGUGCGAAAGUGUGGGGAGCAAACAGGAUU